rnacentral:rRNA from 2 species
AGAGUUUGAUCAUGGCUCAGAUUGAACGCUGGCGGCAGGCCUAACACAUGCAAGUCGAGCGGUAGCACAGAGAGCUUGCUCUCGGGUGACGAGCGGCGGACGGGUGAGUAAUGUCUGGGAAACUGCCUGAUGGAGGGGGAUAACUACUGGAAACGGUAGCUAAUACCGCAUAACGUCGCAAGACCAAAGUGGGGGACCUUCGGGCCUCAUGCCAUCAGAUGUGCCCAGAUGGGAUUAGCUAGUAGGUGGGGUAAUGGCUCACCUAGGCGACGAUCCCUAGCUGGUCUGAGAGGAUGACCAGCCACACUGGAACUGAGACACGGUCCAGACUCCUACGGGAGGCAGCAGUGGGGAAUAUUGCACAAUGGGCGCAAGCCUGAUGCAGCCAUGCCGCGUGUGUGAAGAAGGCCUUCGGGUUGUAAAGCACUUUCAGCGGGGAGGAAGGCGAUAAGGUUAAUAACCUUGUCGAUUGACGUUACCCGCAGAAGAAGCACCGGCUAACUCCGUGCCAGCAGCCGCGGUAAUACGGAGGGUGCAAGCGUUAAUCGGAAUUACUGGGCGUAAAGCGCACGCAGGCGGUCUGUCAAGUCGGAUGUGAAAUCCCCGGGCUCAACCUGGGAACUGCAUUCGAAACUGGCAGGCUAGAGUCUUGUAGAGGGGGGUAGAAUUCCAGGUGUAGCGGUGAAAUGCGUAGAGAUCUGGAGGAAUACCGGUGGCGAAGGCGGCCCCCUGGACAAAGACUGACGCUCAGGUGCGAAAGCGUGGGGAGCAAACAGGAUUAGAUACCCUGGUAGUCCACGCCGUAAACGAUGUCGAUUUGGAGGUUGUGCCCUUGAGGCGUGGCUUCCGGAGCUAACGCGUUAAAUCGACCGCCUGGGGAGUACGGCCGCAAGGUUAAAACUCAAAUGAAUUGACGGGGGCCCGCACAAGCGGUGGAGCAUGUGGUUUAAUUCGAUGCAACGCGAAGAACCUUACCUGGUCUUGACAUCCACAGAACUUUCCAGAGAUGGAUUGGUGCCUUCGGGAACUGUGAGACAGGUGCUGCAUGGCUGUCGUCAGCUCGUGUUGUGAAAUGUUGGGUUAAGUCCCGCAACGAGCGCAACCCUUAUCCUUUGUUGCCAGCGGUUAGGCCGGGAACUCAAAGGAGACUGCCAGUGAUAAACUGGAGGAAGGUGGGGAUGACGUCAAGUCAUCAUGGCCCUUACGACCAGGGCUACACACGUGCUACAAUGGCAUAUACAAAGAGAAGCGACCUCGCGAGAGCAAGCGGACCUCAUAAAGUAUGUCGUAGUCCGGAUUGGAGUCUGCAACUCGACUCCAUGAAGUCGGAAUCGCUAGUAAUCGUAGAUCAGAAUGCUACGGUGAAUACGUUCCCGGGCCUUGUACACACCGCCCGUCACACCAUGGGAGUGGGUUGCAAAAGAAGUAGGUAGCUUAACCUUCGGGAGGGCGCUUACCACUUUGUGAUUCAUGACUGGGGUGAAGUCGUAACAAGGUAACCGUAGGGGAACCUGCGGUUG